AGUGAACGCUGGCGGUAGGCCUAACACAUGCAAGUCGAACGGCAGCACAGUAAGAGCUUGCUCUUACGGGUGGCGAGUGGCGGACGGGUGAGGAAUACAUCGGAAUCUACUUUUUCGUGGGGGAUAACGUAGGGAAACUUAUGCUAAUACCGCAUACGACCUACGGGUGAAAGCAGGGGAUCUUCGGACCUUGCGCGAUUGAAUGAGCCGAUGUCGGAUUAGCUAGUUGGCGGGGUAAAGGCCCACCAAGGCGACGAUCCGUAGCUGGUCUGAGAGGAUGAUCAGCCACACUGGAACUGAGACACGGUCCAGACUCCUACGGGAGGCAGCAGUGGGGAAUAUUGGACAAUGGGCGCAAGCCUGAUCCAGCCAUACCGCGUGGGUGAAGGAGGCCUUCGGGUUGUAAAGCCCUUUUGUUGGGAAAGAAAAGCAGCAGGUUAAUACCCCGCUGUUCUGACGGUACCCAAAGAAUAAGCACCGGCUAACUUCGUG
rnacentral:rRNA from 1 species